rnacentral:rRNA from 1 species
UACGUAGGGGGCUAGCGUUGUCCGGAAUCAUUGGGCGUAAAGAGCGUGUAGGCGGCCCGGUAAGUCCGCUGUGAAAGUCGGGGGCUCAACCCUCGAAUGCCGGUGGAUACUGUCGGGCUAGAGUGCGGAAGAGGCGAGUGGAAGUUCCUGGUGUAGCGGUGAAAUGCGCAGAUAUCAGGAGGAACACCGGUGGCGAAGGCGGGUCUCUGGGCAGUAACUGACGCUGAGGAGCGAAAGCGUGGGGAGCGAACAGG